rnacentral:misc_RNA from 1 species
GAUGAAGAACGUAGCGAAAUGCGAUAAGUAAUGUGAAUUGCAGAAUUCAGUGAAUCAUCGAAUCUUUGAACGCACAUUGCGCCCGCCAGCACUCUGGCGGGCAUGCCUGUUCGAGCGUCAUUUCAACCAUCAAGCCCCCAGGGGCUUGUGCUGGGGCCCUGCGGCUGCCCGCAGGCCCUGAAAACCAGUGGCGGGCUCGCUAGUCACACCGAGCGCAGUAGCACAUCUCGCUCAGGGCGUGCGGCGGGCUCCUGCCGUGAAACCCCCCACUGUAAGCCCAAAGGUUGACCUCGGAUCAGGUAGGAAUACCCGCUGAACUUAAGCAUAUCAAUAAGCGGAGGA